UUGAGGGACCACAGGGAUCUCUGAGUAAAGUCUUGCUCCCAGCUUGAGUUCUUGCACACUGCCGUUUCUCAUAAAUAUGCACCAACGUACAAGUAAUUUCUAUUUUGAAGACAGAAAAUGCAAUAUCAACAGAUGAAAUCCAAAAGACAGACAAAGAAAAAGCUGCUCUUCCAGAUGGAUCUACUCCUUAGACACUUCCUUGAGUCUUCAUCUUCAGGGGAAUAUUUUCACUGAUUUGAAGGCUAAACUCCUGUGAGGAAAAGAUCUAGUCAAGAUAGAAUUCUCUCUUCAUUGUCAAAUCCAAAUAAAGUCCUUAU